CGGGGCGUGGCUCAGCCCGGUAGAGCACAGCGUUCGGGACGCUGAGGUCGGAGGUUCGAAUCCUCUCGCCCCGACCA
rnacentral:tRNA from 1 species